AAGUCGUAACAAGGUUUCCGUAGGUGAACCUGCGGAAGGAUCAUUAACACAAAACCAAGAAGAGACCAUAGAAAUAUGUGUCUCAUCUUACUAUCCAUAUGGUCUUGUUUCGUACCUCUGAAAGGAGGAUUAUCCACUUUGCAGCAAGGAUCCUGGAACUCCGGAUGUAAAUAUCUUGAGGCAUUGUGGCGUCUUUUUCCAACGCUGAUUGUUAUACCUGCACUGAACGCAUAUGCACACGAAAGUGUGUGUAUGUUUAUUGACCUCGUGUCAAUAAAACCAAAUACAACUCGUAACAACGGAUCUCUCGGCUAAU
rnacentral:misc_RNA from 1 species